UACAGAGGUCUCAAGCGUUGUUCGGAUUCAUUGGGCGUAAAGCGUGCGCAGGCGGUUCGCCAAGUCAGGUGUGAAAUCCCCGGGCUUAACCUGGGAAUUGCGCUUGAAACUAGCGGGCUGGAGUGUGGCAGAGGGGGGUGGAAUUCCACGUGUAGCAGUGAAAUGCGUAGAGAUGUGGAGGAACACCGAUGGCGAAGGCAGCCCCCUGGGCUAACACUGACGCUCACGCACGAAAGCGUGGGGAGCAAACAGG
rnacentral:rRNA from 1 species